CAUUUACGACCCACUUAUCAACCCACUAAAGCGAACCCAUUUACUCUCCCUCUUCGACGUCUUCGUUUUCUCGCUUUCCCUCAUCCAUCGUACGACGUACUGCAAGUCGCGACUCAGAGGCCGAGAGCUCGCCGGUGAAUUCCUGUCUUUUUCCGAGCACUCCUUCUCCUUCCGCCGUCAGUCGCCGCAGCCACCGCCGUCAUCGCCGUCUUCGCCGUCCGCGGAAAGCGAUUGCGCUUUGAUUGGGCGAAUCUGCGGUCUUUUUUGGAUCUCCGUCGCUCUCGUCCGGCGCAGUUCAGCCGCAAACCUAAGCCGUUUUCGUAACAGCCGGGACGAGGAAGAGGCAGAGGCGGAUACCAAUCCGAGGGCCUAAGGGGACGCCUGGGUGGUCAGAGUUUGGGCAGGGGAAGCAACCUGGAUAAUGGCUCCUACUUCCGUGGUUCGCAAUGAGUUAUUCGUUCGACCUUUUCGAACCGUUAUAGCUGUGGCCAAAGGCUCGUUAGGUUGCUAUGGGUGAUUCCAUGUACGAUGGUUUCCUGAAGUUGUGGUCUGUGCUUCUUGAGAUACUAAGCAGACAGCCGUAUGGACAAAGAAAUUUACAAUCAGCUGGUUCAAGGCUGAAGAAGAAGGGUAUGACGUGAGCAAGUUCCACAAGACUCCCACAUAGCGACAGUCCACCGGAAGAAGAAGGACCCAAGGACACCAAAGGCAUUUGGUGGAUCAAGUCCAUUCUAGGAAGAUAGGGGGAACUCGAUUUCACAGCCAGCUUGAUGAAGAUGAUGCAGCAAAGGCUUCAUGGAGUUCUGAGUACAUAUGAGUUUUCAUAAAUAAUCAGCAUAUGAUGUACCCCUGUUUUAAGUUAGAUUGAAAUCUUUUAGUCUCGAGACUACCAUGCGUUUGUUUUGUUUGAUGUAUAUUUUGCUUCUGCUGUGUGCGGAUAUUGUAUCAAUGAUGAGAGAUUGGCAAUGAAUAGGAGCUGUUCAAUUAUGAGAUCA